CGCAACGAUCGGCCAGGCAUGGCCCCUAUUUCUUGUAGCCAGGCAAGUCUUGCGAGAUGGAAGCCGCGACAGCCUCUCCGCGAUCGCUCGCCCCGCGGGCGAAAUAGGCCGGAAUUAACUAGAGGCCUACAGCUGAGCUCUUUUAUGGGCGGCCGCGCACGCUCGAGUAAACGGCCUGCAUCGUUCGCGGAAGCGCCAACACGGCGACGCGCACGCGAAAGCGUUCGUUUGGGUAUACGGUCUCGAAGGACUAUACGAAGGAUGCCUUAAUGAAGGAGGCUUCGAGAUUCAUUUCGGCCCCACGAGCUUCUCUGACGUACACCGCCGUGUCAGUAUGCACGAGCGUUCUUGCAUUCCGCAGAAUGGCACGGGGCACGGCAGCCGGGAUUCCAACCCGGCAGGAGAUCCGCUCGAUCCUGGAAGACGAACUCUGGGCCGCCCAGCUGGCCGAGGAGGCCGCCAGGGCUAAAGGGCUGCUGACCGCCGCUUAAGCUUGGGCUUGUGCCCCUAAACUGUUGGACACUAAAUAAAGUAAUCUCUCUCUCUUCUCUAUAAGGACA